rnacentral:rRNA from 1 species
GAUGAACGCUGGCGGCGUGCCUAAUACAUGCAAGUCGAGCGAACAGACGAGGAGCUUGCUCCUCUAACGUUAGCGGCGGACGGGUGAGUAACACGUGGAUAACCUACCUAUAAGACUGGGAUAACUUCGGGAAACCGGAGCUAAUACCGGAUAAUAUAUUGAACCGCAUGGUUCAAUAGUGAAAGACGGUUUUGCGGUCACUGAUAGAUGGAUCCGCGCCGCAUUAGCUAGUUGGUAAGGUAACAGCUUACCAAGGCAACGAUGCGUAGCCGACCUGAGAGGGUGAUCGGCCACACUGGAACUGAGACACGGUCCAGACUCCUACGGGAGGCAGCAGUAGGGAAUCUUCCGCAAUGGGCGAAAGCCUGACGGAGCAACGCCGCGUGAGUGAUGAAGGUCUUCGGAUCGUAAAACUCUGUUAUUAGGGAAGAACAAAUGUGUAAGUAACUAUGCACGUCUUGACGGUACCUAAUCAGAAAGCCACGGCUAACUACGUGCCAGCCGCCGCGGUAA